GAAACAGCCAAUGUUUUCGAUUGAGUAUCCUGGCCGCAUUUCAGUCCAUAGAGCCGAGUCUGCUGUGAUCCCAAUAAGAAAGAAGAAUGGAGAAACUCCUGGAAGUGUCUUUGCUGAUACUAUGGCUUCAACUGCCCAGGGUGAACAGCCAACAGGAACAGCAUCAUCAGGUCCUGAACUUCCAGGAGGGUGAAAAUGCCACAAUGAACUGCAGUUAUAAAACUUCGAUAAGCAACUUACAGUGGUAUAGAAAAGACUCGGGUCAAGGCUUUGUCCAGCUGAUUUUAAUACGUUCAAAUGAAAGAGAGAAAUACAGAGGAAGGCUACGCGUCACCCUGGACAACUCCAACAAAAGCAGUUCUUUGUCCAUCAUUGCUUCCCAGACUGCAGACUCUGCUACUUACAUCUGUGCCACAGGACACAGUGUUAACCAAGCACUUGCAGCCUCUGCACAAACUCUGCCCAAGCUGCCCCUUUGAAGCCCCACAGUGGGUAGCAUUCGUGGUUAAGUCUUCACAGGAAGGAGAGUCUAUAAAGAGUGGGCAAGAUGAAAGACGGACCCUCUCAAAUUCACGAUUUUUUUGGAAGCACCUUGUACCAAGGCGAAGGGCAUGAAGUUUAGAGUGAUAAACUACAAUGCCAGGUUCAAAUCUGCUAAUCCCAGUUCUAUGGCUUUGGGCAGAGCAUCAGCACAGCAGCCUUCCCUUUCCUCAAUGGAAAUGAAGGACUUGGAAUGACAAACCCGAAAAGCCCUCCAAGCUCUAAUUUUAUCAGGGAAGAAGCUAAGCUCUGGACACUUAUAGAGGAUGAGGAAGGAAUUCUCUGUAUUAGAAGGUCUCAUAUGUUCAAUCCUCUGGUGACCCAGAUGGCCCCAUGAGAUGUAUGUGGAACUCUUUCAGCCAAAUUUUCCAAUUUAAAGCUGAGGAAUGGAAACAUUGUACCCAUAGAAACAAAACUGCAAAUCUCAUUCUGCGUUUACUAGUCCUGUGAUUUCCAAGCCUCAAUCUCCCCACGAAUCAAAGGAGAACUUACGAGAUAAAGGCAGAGCAAGUGGUUCUCCCCACUUGGGUGAGAGAUGUGUGUUCCCCACUGCCACUGCCCUGAAAUUUUGUUUUUAAAAAUUGGGCACUUCCAUUAUCAAACACAUAGCAGUUUUCAUUUAUGUCUCUUCCUAAUAGUAAAUAAAUGUUGGCUAUAGUUGUCAA